CUCGGCUUGUUCCUGGAGACGCAAGUGUGACCGGGACAGUAGGGCCAUAUGCUUGAUGGCUGUGCCUUGUGGCUUGAAGUGCUUUCGGUCCGCUGGUGGGGUCAUUGGAAACGUUUGCUGUUAGCAGAGCAGCAUUUCCAUUAUGAACAGUUGCCAAAGCGACUUCAGAAAUGCCAGAACACGCGCUGGAGUCUAAACUUGGCUAUCUUAGAAACUCAAGUCACUUCUGGUCUUCGUAGCUCGUCUCUUCAGGUGGGAAGUCUCCACCUCAUGAGCCAUGUAUGGGCUGAGAGACAUCCAGGUCCCAGCACAUCCAUUGUCUGCAAUCAAGCUAGAGCCACCACUCCACAAAAGAGAGCCCCAAUGUCGUGGCUGUGCCCUUCUGUAACUUAGCUUCUUUGCCAGGUUUCUGAGAGGAUAAAUGCUGAAACCUGCCUCUCCCAGGAAGAUACCUGAGCCAUCCAGCAGGGUUCCUGGGGAGAGAGGAGCCCUGUGGUCUCGGCUACCUGCAUCUGGAGUGGAAUUGCCAUCUCAGUGGAAGGAAACAAGGGAGAGAGGAAUGGGUCAUGGUUCAAAUGCCAUAGACUCUUGCUGUUCUGACCGAGUUUUAGUAGGUUUUUUCGAAUAAAUGUCCCUUCGUUCAGUGUUUCACCUUAGGACUAUUUCCAGAGAAUUUAAAUGGCAUCUUUUUAUGGUUUUUCACCAGUUCCACUGUGGGAUGGGUCUGUGGAGCUCCUCACGUAUCCAUGCCCAAAGUAGACCUUCUGUUCACGCCCCUUUAAGUCUUCACCUUUUACUAAGUCUCUAUUGAUAGAUCACAGAUUAUUUUAGACCACCAUCAUGGACUUCAUUGUACCUCCAUGCCCAAAUUCAUAUGUUGAAUUCCUAACCCCUAGUACUCCACAACGUGACUGUAUUUGGAGACAGGGCCUCUGAAGAGGUAAUUAAAUUAAAAUAAGAUGAUAUGCUUGGGACCUAAUACAGUAUGAUUUUUGUCUUUAUAAGAAGAAGAAACACCAAGAAUGCACACACAUAUAGGAAAGGCGAUGUGAGGACAUAGCAAGAAGUCAGCCACCCACAAGCCAAAGAGAGAGGCUUCGUAGGAAACCAAACCCGCUGCCACCUUGAUUUUGGACUUUCAGCCUCCAAAACUGUAAGGAAGUACAUUUCUGUUGGUUAGGCCACCCACUUUGUGGAAUUUUGUUAGCAAGCGAAUACAAGGACUGUGAUAAUUUAGCCUUUUUACAUUAAUAUUGUCUUCCAUAAUUGGUGUGUCAACGUCUUCUCAUUUCCUCCUAUUUCCACCAAAACCAAACUCAACAAAACCAAACCAAAUGAAAUAAGACAAAUCCUGGCAGUCUUCCCCAGCAUGCAGUGGAAGUGGUGAGGAGCAUUUGUGCUUUCAGAUGUUUUCUGCGUCUUUUUGGGCUGACUCCUCAAAGAACCAAACCCAUUGGACCUCUAUUCUGCACAUUUGGUGGUAUUGUUAAGAUUUUUGAGGUUUGUUAACUCACUCUCUUCCCCCAUACACACACCAUUUCUGUGGGUUGGAAAAGAAGAAGAAUGUUAACUACUCAAAAAUCCUUAGUAUCGUUUGACUUCCUCCCUUUUCUUUCUUUCUCUUUCUUUCUUUCUUUUCUUUCUUUGUUUCUUUUUCUUUUUCUUUUCUUUCUUUCUCUUUCCUCUUUUCUUUUUCUUUCUUUCUUUCUUUCUUUCCUCUUUCUUUUCUUUCUUUCUGUCUGGUGCUUUCCUCUU
ensembl:lncRNA